CCUACGGGGGGCUGCAGUGAGGAAUAUUGGUCAAUGGGCGGGAGCCUGAACCAGCCAAGUCGCGUGAGGGACGACGGUCCUAUGGAUUGUAAACCUCUUUUGUCGGGGAACAACAGCGCCCACGUGUGGGCGUAUGAGUGUACCCUAAGAAAAAGCAUCGGCUAACUCCGUGCCAGCAGCCGCGGUAAUACGGAGGAUGCGAGCGUUAUCCGGAUUUAUUGGGUUUAAAGGGUGCGUAGGCGGACGGUCAAGUCAGCGGUAAAAGUGCGGUGCUCAACGCCGUACAGCCGUUGAAACUGGCAGUCUUGAGUGGGCGAGAGGCAUGCGGAAUGCGUGGUGUAGCGGUGAAAUGCAUAGAUAUCACGCAGAACUCCGAUUGCGAAGGCAGCAUACCGGCGCCGUACUGACGCUGAGGCACGAAAGCGUGGGUAUCGAACAGGAUUAGAUACCCGAGUAGUC
rnacentral:rRNA from 1 species